rnacentral:rRNA from 1 species
CAGUCGAACGAUGAUGCCCAGCUUGCUGGGUGGAUUAGUGGCGAACGGGUGAGUAAUACGUGAGUAACCUGCCCUUGACUCUGGGAUAAGCCUGGGAAACUGGGUCUAAUACUGGAUACUACCUCUUACCGCAUGGUGGGUGGUGGAAAGGGUUUUACUGGUUUUGGAUGGGCUCACGGCCUAUCAGCUUGUUGGUGGGGUAAUGGCUCACCAAGGCGACGACGGGUAGCCGGCCUGAGAGGGUGACCGGCCACACUGGGACUGAGACACGGCCCAGACUCCUACGGGAGGCAGCAGUGGGGAAUAUUGCACAAUGGGCGGAAGCCUGAUGCAGCGACGCCGCGUGAGGGAUGACGGCCUUCGGGUUGUAAACCUCUUUCAGUAGGGAAGAAGCGAGAGUGACGGUACCUGCAGAAGAAGCGCCGGCUAACUACGUGCCAGCAGCCGCGGUAAUACGUAGGGCGCAAGCGUUGUCCGGAAUUAUUGGGCGUAAAGAGCUCGUAGGCGGUUUGUCGCGUCUGCUGUGAAAGCCCGGGGCUCAACCCCGGGUCUGCAGUGGGUACGGGCAGACUAGAGUGCAGUAGGGGAGACUGGAAUUCCUGGUGUAGCGGUGAAAUGCGCAGAUAUCAGGAGGAACACCGAUGGCGAAGGCAGGUCUCUGGGCUGUUACUGACGCUGAGGAGCGAAAGCAUGGGGAGCGAACAGGAUUAGAUACCCUGGUAGUCCAUGCCGUAAACGUUGGGCACUAGGUGUGGGGGACAUUCCACGUUUUCCGCGCCGUAGCUAACGCAUUAAGUGCCCCGCCUGGGGAGUACGGCCGCAAGGCUAAAACUCAAAGGAAUUGACGGGGGCCCGCACAAGCGGCGGAGCAUGCGGAUUAAUUCGAUGCAACGCGAAGAACCUUACCAAGGCUUGACAUUCACCGGACCGCCCCAGAGAUGGGGUUUCCCUUCGGGGCUGGUGGACAGGUGGUGCAUGGUUGUCGUCAGCUCGUGUCGUGAGAUGUUGGGUUAAGUCCCGCAACGAGCGCAACCCUCGUUCUAUGUUGCCAGCACGUGAUGGUGGGGACUCAUAGGAGACUGCCGGGGUCAACUCGGAGGAAGGUGGGGAUGACGUCAAAUCAUCAUGCCCCUUAUGUCUUGGGCUUCACGCAUGCUACAAUGGCCGGUACAAAGGGUUGCGAUACUGUGAGGUGGAGCUAAUCCCAAAAAGCCGGUCUCAGUUCGGAUUGAGGUCUGCAACUCGACCUCAUGAAGUCGGAGUCGCUAGUAAUCGCAGAUCAGCAACGCUGCGGUGAAUACGUUCCCGGGCCUUGUACACACCGCCCGUCAAGUCACGAAAGUUGGUAACACCCGAAGCCGGUGGCCUAACCCCUUGUGGGAGGGAGCCG